UACGAAGGGGGCUAGCGUUGCUCGGAAUCACUGGGCGUAAAGGGUGCGUAGGCGGGUCUUUAAGUCAGGGGUGAAAUCCCAGAGCUCAACUCUGGAACUGCCUUUGAUACUGGAAGUCUUGAGUAUGGAAGAGGUUGGUGGAACUGCGAGUGUAGAGGUGAAAUUCGUAGAUAUUCGCAAGAACACCAGUGGCGAAGGCGGCCAACUGGUCCAUUACUGACGCUGAGGUGCGAAAGCGUGGGGAGCAAACAGG
rnacentral:rRNA from 1 species